AUGCAUAUGUAUCAGAAUUUCCACAGACUUCAUAAAGGUGAGCAAGUGAAGAACAAUUUGUGGGAAAUUGCCAAGGCUACAAACAACCAUGCAUACAUGAGAGCAAUGCAAAAUAUGGAACAAGACAACAUUGAUGCAUACAGAUGGUGUGAGAAAUGGCCACCAAGAACCUGGAUUAAAGCAUUUUUGAACCCAUUUCCAAAGUGUGACAUUCUACUGAAUAACAUGUCUAAAGUUUUCUGUAUAUGGAUCUUGAAAUCUAGAGAGCUACCAAUUAAGUCCAUGUUGCACAACAUCAAUGACAAGAUCACAAACAGGAUGUACAAGAAGCAGAAGGAGGUGGCCACUGAUAUAAAAUGGGGUAAAUGA
rnacentral:rRNA from 1 species